GACGAACGCUGGCGGCGUGCUUAACACAUGCAAGUCGAACGGUGAAGCGCCUUCCUUUUUGGUGGGUGUGGAUGAGUGGCGAACGGGCGAGUAACACGUGAGUAACCUGCCCCCUUCUUCUGGAUAACCGCAUGAAAGUGUGGCUAAUACGGGAUAUUCUGGGUCUGUCGCAUGAUGGGUCUGGGAAAGAUAUUGUUUCGGUGGGGGAUGGGCUCGCGGCCUAUCAGCUUGUUGGUGGGGUGAUGGCCUACCAAGGCGGUGACGGGUAGCCGGCCUGAGAGGGUGGACGGUCACACUGGGACGGAGACACGGCCCAGACUCCUACGGGAGGCAGCAGUGGGGAAUAUGGCACAAUGGGCGCAAGCCUGAUGCAGCGACGCCGCGUGAGGGAUGGAGGCCUUCGGGUUGUGAACCUCUUUCGCCAGUGAAGCAGGCCUGCCUCGUUUGUGGGUGGGUUGACGGUAGCUGGAUAAGAAGCGCCGGCUAACUACGUG
rnacentral:rRNA from 1 species